UAUACAUAGUGACCAACAACAGCAGAUGACAUGGCUCCCAAAUCAUCACUGACUGUGGAUAUUUCACACUGGACUUCAAACACCUUUGAUCCUGUGGCUCUCCACUCUUCUUCCACACUCUGUGACCCUGAUUUUUAGAAUAAAUGCAAAAUUUACUUUCACUGAAGAGAGGACUUUGGAUCACUUAGCAACACUCCAGUUCUUUCUCUGCUUAGCCCCGGUAAGAUGCUUCUGAUGUUGUUGGGUGUUCAGGAGAGACAUUACAAUAAGAAAGGUUGUAUUUUAUUUCCUGAACAAGUCUGUUCUGGUGGCUCUGGAUGCACUGGUUCCAGCUUCAGUACACUGCUUGUGAAUCUCUUCCACAUUCUGUAAUCUGCUUUUCCUGAUCAUUCUCUCAAGUCUGCCAUUAUCCCUUUUGCUUUUGCACAUUUUUCCCUUCCAGUUAUCUUUCCAUGAAUAUUCUUUGAUACAGCACUCUGGAAACAGCCGGCCCUUUCAGCAAUGUACAUCUGACCCUCUUUGUGGAGCGUGUCAGAGAUUGUCUUCUGGACAAGUGCCAAGUCAGCAGUCUUCUCCACACUCAAAAAAGUGAAUUAGUGGAGGCAAAGACGUUCGGUGAAGGGGUUGUCUCGAGUUGAGAGAGGUGAAAGAUACAACUGAGGGCUGCUGCGACUGAGUUAUAUCUCCUGAAUAGAGAGUGAGUCCUGAUUCAUGCUUCUUCCUGUCGGCCCAUAGCACAGUAUUCAUAACAGAUCCUGGGUGUGAUCGCUGUUUCCUAACUCUUUGAUUGACGGCACUGCUGAGCUUGCCCGUGAUUAGAAUGUGGCAGUGUAAAGGUUGCAGUUCAAAGACCUUAACUAGAGCCCAGUUACUUAAACAUUACCGAUUAAAACAUCCACAUUAUGGACGCGUGCAACCAUAUCCUUGCCCAUAUAAUAGUUGUCCAUGUACAUCUAAGUCAUGGAAUGCUCUCAGGUCACAUUUUUCUGGAGUCCACACUAAAGAAACAUUGCAGCAAACACUGACAUUGGUGACAUUCAGCUGUCAUGUUUGUGGGUUCUCUGAAGCUGCCUCUGCAAAGGAGCAUUUUACUCAUGUAAAUUUGCAUCUCAAAGCCAGUGAAACAGUCCCCUGCAUGUUCAAGGGUUGUACAUUUAGUACAAAUAUUUAUGGGACAUUUAAAUCACAUAAAAAUAGGAAGCACCAUGGUUAUUCUUACAGUGACUUUAAACCUGGAGUAGUUGCAGAAAGAGAAAUAUUUGAAAGCACAAGUGUGUACGCUGAAUUUCAUAGUCAAGAUGUUCUCAGCUUGGUUUAGAGAGCACUACCGGGUCUUUGAACUGGAACCAUGUCCAACUGGCAGAAUGUCCCUGAUCACACACGACGAUCUGGCAGAGAAGUACCCAUUACAUGACUACUUUGUUGGGCCCCUACGACUGGUUACAUUUAAAAGAUAUCCAUAUAUUACAAGAACAUGUUGAAUAUCUUCUCUCGACUGAUGCAUUUGGAUGAUGGCUGCACCAGUAAAACUGCGGAUCAUUCUUGGUUCCUACAAUGCUGAGAAACUGAUCAUAGAAGGCAUGCCAACGUCUGUUGAGGAUCUUGCAAAUGAGAUCAAACGUCAGUUUGAUAUAGAGGGGGACAUAAGACUCCAGUACAUGGACAGUGAUUUUGAUAACGAGUUUGUUAACCUUAACCAAAUGUGCAAUAUUCAAGACAAAAGCACAGUGAAAAUCAUCCACUUGUCAGAUGCUGUAGACCUCAGCCCUGGCAGCAUGAACCAGAGUGCUGGGGAAGAAGCAUCCUUGUCAUCUUCUAACACAUUAAUACUCUCCUCUGAUUCAGAAUCUCCUCGAUCACACUGUUGAUGCUUCAUUAUAUCUUACAUUGUGUUGAAGAUGCAUUUUCACCACUGCUGUCAUUACUACAGUGUAAUGCUGUGUCACUGCUCAAGUGGUCUGCCGUGGUUUUAUUUUGGACCAAGGGUCAACAAAAUGUUCAGUGAAUAUUGCUAAAUAAAGGAAAUAACAAAAAUAUGUUGGGUGUACGUAAUUCAUUUGUGUGGAACCUGUUGACAAAGUAGAAUUAGGUUACACUAAUUAGUAUAAAAUGAACUGGAUGAAAACCUAAUCUAAUAAAUUGAACUUAGAUUAAUUAUUAUAGUUCUAUGAAUAAAAUAUAUGUUUAAAGGACAAAUGUAAAAUAUGUAGCCUGAAAAUAUAUUAUUUAUGUCCAUAUAACAUAACUGAAUUUGAUUGCAUAAGCAUAAAUAUCUUUUGUUGAACAGACAUAAUUUUAUCUAGUUGGGUCAAUUUACGUCGUGUUUAUGUAAUACAAAUUAAUUAAGUUAGAUGAACUUAACAUUUUUGCUUUCAACUAACAUAAUACAUUUACGUGGAACCUGUUGACAAAAUAAAUUUAAAGUCAACGUUUCAGUUUUUUGAGUGCAUGAUAGCGGUUGUGCAUACUGAACUAGACUGAGGAUUUAAAGGCUCUUUGCAGGUAUUUUGAGUUAAUUAGAGCUUCUACAGGGCUGCGUGGGAAUGUCUAGGGAGAAACAUGAAAUAUUCCAAUAUUCUGAGAUUGAUUUUAGAGGGGUGUCAUAAGUUGCAAGCCAUUAUCAUCAGAGUUAUUCGAACUAAAAGAAUGAAAUAUUUCAAUUCAUGUGU